UACAGAGGGUGCAAGCGUUGUUCGGAAUUAUUGGGCGUAAAGCGCGUGCAGGCGGCUUGGUAAGUCGGAUGUGAAAUCCCGGAGCUCAACUCCGGAACUGCAUCCGAUACUGCCUCGCUAGAGUCCCGGAGAGGAUGGCGGAAUUUCCGGUGUAGAGGUGAAAUUCGUAGAUAUCGGAAGGAACACCAGCGGCGAAGGCGGCCAUCUGGACGGUGACUGACGCUCAGACGCGAAAGCGCGGGGAGCAAACAGG
rnacentral:rRNA from 1 species